rnacentral:lncRNA from 1 species
UUGAUAUCAAAAUCACAAUAUUACAGUUUUGAGCAUAUACAUCUUAGUAAAUUUCCAUUACCAUUUCCCAGCUUUUUUGGAUUUCUUACCCAAACGAAAUAUUUGGAAAUGAAAGGAUUUUUGUAAUGCUUAUGUCAAGUCUAUCUCCAACUAGAAGUGCAAGCAUAUGUGAAUUCCCUUACCAAUUGCCAGCCCAAUUUUGAAUUUUUUAUCCCCAAUUAACAGAGUCCUACACACUAGGAUAUCAAAUGUGGCGUUGUAUCUGGAAAUGGUAAGAGAAUUUUAUGUCUACUAUAUCCUGCAGCGUGCCAAGUAUAUUAAUACUGAGAUUCUCAUUAAUAUUUGGUUGCCUAAUUUUGGUCAACCUUAUUUUAAAAGCAUGACAUUUAACAUUUUAUAUAAAAAGAUAAAAUUUGAUAUUGAGAGGAAUACAUAAUAAGUUGUUUGCUUUUUUUUUUUAUAGUAACCUAAACUUAGUUUAAGAAACUAUAAAUAACAUCACUAACUUAAACCCAAGGUUCGGGACUUGGGAAGAGGUUCUCACAUUAGCCUCCUACAAAACUUUAAUCGAGCCGAACUCGAGCUAAAAAAGUAAUUCGUAUCAAACUUGAGUCGAAUUUUGAGCUGAACAAAUUCUUAGUUGAGCUUUGGUUCGGCUCAUUUCCAACCAUGAUUUUCAUUACAUCUAAAUAGGGAUGAAAAUGCGUCGAAUCGAGUUGAAUCAGAACCCGCUUUGGUUCGAUAAGGAUUUGCUCAGCUCGAAACUCAACUCGAGUUUGUUACGAGUUAUUUUUUUAGCUCGGGUUUGAUUCGGUUAAAGUUCACGAAUUAUUCGUUUCAGCUCGAAUUGAUUCAUUUGACAAUUUAGAUAAUUAAUUCAUUUUUAAAAAAAUAUUGCACAAAGUUAUAUAUAAAUACAACAACAAUAAACAUAAAAAUAAUGCACACUCAUGGUAUAAUCACAUUAAACAUAAAAAAUAGUUUAUAUAUAUUUAAAUAUAAUAUAUAUAAGUAUAGAUGUACAUAUAAAUAUUAUAUAUAUAUAUAUAUAUUUAUAUAUAUAUAUAGCUCAUAAACCUAACAAGUCGAAAUAUAUUUAGUUCAAGUUCGGCUCCUUUAUGUAAUGAGCUCAAUUUACAACUUAAGAUCGACUCAUUUGGUUCAUGAAUCAAGUUUAUUGAACUAAAUAAUGAGUCGAGUUCCAAACAAAUACCGAAUUUGUUCAGUUCAUUGUCCGUCAUACUUUCACAAUGACUAUAAUUACAAUAACCACAACUGCAAUCACAAUUACAAUGUAAAACAAAUUACUUCACUCCUCUAAUUUUCAC